rnacentral:rRNA from 1 species
GAUGAACGCUAGCGGCAGGCUUAACACAUGCAAGUCGAGGGGUAUAGUUCUUCGGAACUAGAGACCGGCGCACGGGUGCGUAACGCGUAUGCAAUCUGCCUUUCACAGAGGGAUAGCCCAGAGAAAUUUGGAUUAAUACCUCAUAGUAUUAUAGACUGGCAUCGGUUUAUAAUUAAAGUCACAACGGUGAAAGAUGAGCAUGCAUCCCAUUAGCUAGUUGGUAAGGUAACGGCUUACCAAGGCGACGAUGGGUAGGGGUCCUGAGAGGGAGAUCCCCCACACUGGUACUGAGACACGGAACAGACUCCUACGGGAGGCAGCAGUGAGGAAUAUUGGUCAAUGGACGCAAGUCUGAACCAGCCAUGCCGCGUGCAGGAUGACGGUCCUAUGGAUUGUAAACUGCUUUUGUACGAGAAGAAACACUCCAACGUGUUGGAGCUUGACGGUAUCGUAAGAAUAAGGAUCGGCUAACUCCGUGCCAGCAGCCGCGGUAACAC